rnacentral:rRNA from 1 species
UGGGGAAUAUUGGACAAUGGGGGGAACCCUGAUCCAGCCAUGCCGCGUGUGUGAAGAAGGCCUUAUGGUUGUAAAGCACUUUAAGCGAGGAGGAGGGUACUGGUAGUAAUACUACCAGCUACGGGACGUUACUCGCAGAAUAAGCACCGGCUAACUCUGUGCCAGCAGCCGCGGUAAUACAGAGGGUGCGAGCGUUAAUCGGAUUUACUGGGCGUAAAGCGCGCGUAGGUGGUUCGUUAAGUUGAAUGUGAAAGCCCCGGGCUCAACCUGGGAACUGCAUCCAAAACUGGCGAGCUAGAGUAGGGCAGAGGGUGGUGGAAUUUCCUGUGUAGCGGUGAAAUGCGUAGAUAUAGGAAGGAACACCAGUGGCGAAGGCGACCACCUGGGCUCAUACUGACACUGAGGUGCGAAGGCGUGGGGAGCAAACAGG